UAGGGAAUAUUGCGCAAUGGAGGAAACUCUGACGCAGCGACGCCGCGUGGGUGAUGAAGGUCUUCGGAUCGUAAAGCCCUGUCGGAAGGGAAGAAAAACGAUUUGGCUAAUAUCCAAGUCGCUUGACGGUACCUUUAAAGGAAGCACCGGCUAACUACGUGCCAGCAGCCGCGGUAAUACGUAGGGUGCUAGCGUUGUUCGGAAUCAUUGGGCGUAAAGCGCGUGUAGGUGGUUAAGUAAGUCGGGUGUGAAAUCCCUCGGCUCAACCGAGGAAGUGCAUCCGAAACUACUUAGCUAGAGGACGGUAGAGGAAGGUGGAAUUCCAAGUGUAGAGGUGAAAUUCGUAGAUAUUUGGAGGAAUACCGGUGGCGAAGGCGGCCUUCUGGGCCGUUCCUGACACUGAGACGCGAAAGCGUGGGUAGCAAACAGGAUUAGAUACCCCUGUAGUCC
rnacentral:rRNA from 1 species